AGCUAGCCCGGUUUGUCACCUUUUAAAACCGCGGUAGUAUGCACUGGCAAGGCAAAAUUCUCUACCAGAUAAAGACUCCGUGUAAGAAAAGAAGGCACGAGGCAUUUCAAAAGAAAACAACUUCAUUCCUCUUUUUUGCUUUUCUGGGACAGAAUCUUUCUACAGAAGCCGUAGCUAUAUAGUCCUAGAACUUAUUAGAGUGUGAUGCCCAAGGUGCCAAAUCCCUGGCUCCAGAGUCCCGUCGUAGGAAUCCCCGUACAGAAAAACCGCUCACCGUAUUUCAGGGAUCUACGGACUGCCCGGGAAAAAAGGAUCGAAAGAGGACCCUUUGGAGAUGACCCGGUUUUAGAGCCGAGCAAAUUCUUCAAAGAAGAUUUUCUUUCCACAUCAAGUCUUCUUUCCUUUCGGAGAAUACAGCUCCUGUCUAGGCUGGAUGGCUCCUCUUCUUCUCCUUGACACCCGCAGCAGCAGACAGGGCACAUCGUGUCUCUUCCAUUGAUACUGAACAAUGUUCUCACUGUGUUUACAAAGAUAAACUACUUAUCAAUCAACUUU
rnacentral:lncRNA from 1 species